rnacentral:rRNA from 1 species
CUGUGUGUUGUUGGGUAGGGGAGCGUUCUGUAAGCCUGCGAAGGUGUCCCGUGAGGGAUGCUGGAGGUAUCAGAAGUGCGAAUGCUGACAUAAGUAACGAUAAAGCGGGUGAAAAGCCCGCUCGCCGGAAGACCAAGGGUUCCUGUCCAACGUUAAUCGGGGCAGGGUGAGUCGACCCCUAAGGCGAGGCCGAAAGGCGUAGUCGAUGGGAAACGGGUUAAUAUUCCCGUACUUGGUGUUACUGCGAAGGGGGGACGGAGAAGGCUAUGUUGGCCGGGCGACGGUUGUCCCGGUUUAAGCGUGUAGGUGUGUGUUCCAGGUAAAUCCGGUUCACUUUAACACUGAGGCGUGACGACGAGGCACUACGGUGCUGAAGCAACAAAUGCCCUGCUUCCAGGAAAAGCCUCUAAGCAUCAGGUAACAUCAAAUCGUACCCCAAACCGACACAGGUGGUCAGGUAGAGAAUACCAAGGCGCUUGAGAGAACUCGGGUGAAGGAACUAGGCAAAAUGGUGCCGUAACUUCGGGAGAAGGCACGCUGACACGUAGGUGAAGUGAUUUACUCAUGGAGCUGAAGUCAGUCGAAGAUACCAGCUGGCUGCAACUGUUUAUUAAAAACACAGCACUGUGCAAACACGAAAGUGGACGUAUACGGUGUGACGCCUGCCCGGUGCCGGAAGGUUAAUUGAUGGGGUCAGCGCAAGCGAAGCUCCUGAUCGAAGCCCCGGUAAACGGCGGCCGUAACUAUAACGGUCCUAAGGUAGCGAAAUUCCUUGUCGGGUAAGUUCCGACCUGCACGAAUGGCGUAAUGAUGGCCAGGCUGUCUCCACCCGAGACUCAGUGAAAUUGAACUCGCUGUGAAGAUGCAGUGUACCCGCGGCAAGACGGAAAGACCCCGUGAACCUUUACUAUAGCUUGACACUGAACAUUGAGCCUUGAUGUGUAGGAUAGGUGGGAGGCUUUGAAGUGUGGACGCCAGUCUGCAUGGAGCCGACCUUGAAAUACCACCCUUUAAUGUUUGAUGUUCUAACGUGGACCCGUAAUCCGGGUUGCGGACAGUGUCUGGUGGGUAGUUUGACUGGGGCGGUCUCCUCCUAAAGAGUAACGGAGGAGCACGAAGGUUGGCUAAUCCUGGUCGGACAUCAGGAGGUUAGUGCAAUGGCAUAAGCCAGCUUGACUGCGAGCGUGACGGCGCGAGCAGGUGCGAAAGCAGGUCAUAGUGAUCCGGUGGUUCUGAAUGGAAGGGCCAUCGCUCAACGGAUAAAAGGUACUCCGGGGAUAACAGGCUGAUACCGCCCAAGAGUUCAUAUCGACGGCGGUGUUUGGCACCUCGAUGUCGGCUCAUCACAUCCUGGGGCUGAAGUAGGUCCCAAGGGUAUGGCUGUUCGCCAUUUAAAGUGGUACGCGAGCUGGGUUUAGAACGUCGUGAGACAGUUCGGUCCCUAUCUGCCGUGGGCGCUGGAGAACUGAGGGGGGCUGCUCCUAGUACGAGAGGACCGGAGUGGACGCAUCACUGGUGUUCGGGUUGUCAUGCCAAUGGCACUGCCCGGUAGCUAAAUGCGGAAGAGAUAAGUGCUGAAAGCAUCUAAGCACGAAACUUGCCCCGAGAUGAGUUCUCCCUGAGACUUAGAGUCUCCUGAAGGAACGUUGAAGACGACGACGUUGAUAGGCCGGGUGUGUAAGCGCAGCGAUGCGUUGAGCUAACCGGUACUAAUGAACCGUGAG